rnacentral:rRNA from 1 species
GACGAACGCUGGCGGCGUGCCUAAUACAUGCAAGUCGAGCGAAUCAAUAGGAGCUUGCUCCUGUUGAUUAGCGGCGGACGGGUGAGUAACACGUGGGCAACCUGCCUGUAAGACUGGGAUAACUUCGGGAAACCGGAGCUAAUACCGGAUAAUCCUUUUCCUCUCAUGAGGAAAAGCUGAAAGUCGGUUUAGGCUGACACUUACUGAUGGGCCCGCGGCGCAUUAGCUAGUUGGUGAGGUAACGGCGCACCAAGGCGACGAUGCGUAGCCGACCUGAGAGGGUGAUCGGCCACACUGGGACUGAGACACGGCCCAGACUCCUACGGGAGGCAGCAGUAGGGAAUCUUCCGCAAUGGACGAAAGUCUGACGGAGCAACGCCGCGUGGGCGAUGAAGGCCUUCGGGUCGUAAAGCUCUGUUGUUAGGGAAGAACAAGUAUCGGAGUAACUGCCGGUACCUUGACGGUACCUAACCAGAAAGCCACGGCUAACUACGUGCCAGCCGCCGCUGUAACAC